rnacentral:rRNA from 1 species
AAAGGUGAAAUUAAUACUGUUUUAAUUUUAUUAGAACUGAAUUUAAAGCUAAUUUAUUUUGGGUUUGAACUAGGAUUAGAUACCCUAUUACACCAAAAGGUAACAUGAUAAACUUAAUUAUUUAUAGGUAUGUUCUUGAAAUUUGAAGAAUUUGGCGGUGAUUUAGUCUUGUCAGAGGAAUUUGUUUUUUAAUCGAUAAACCACGCAAAAUCUUGCUUGAGUUUAUAUACCAUCAUUAAUAGAUAAUCUUGUUAUAGAGGUAAUUAUUAAGUCUUAUGAGCAAUUAAAAUUAGAUCAAGGUGUAGCUAAUAAACAAGUUAAAAUGAAUUACAAUAAAAUUUAUUUAUAUGGAUUUGGUGAGAUAAAGGUGGAUUUGAUUGUAUGUAAGUUUAAUAAGCUUUAAAGAUAUAGGUUCUAAAUCAUGUACAUAUCGCCCGUCGCUUUC